AUGUUGUUUUCCUUGAAGUUAACAAAGCAACAAUGAACAUGUUGCACAAGGUUGAGCCUUAUGUAACUUAUGGAUACCCUAAUUUGAAGAGUGUAAGGGAACUCAUCUAUAAGCGAGGGUAUGGAAGCUAGAGAGGCAGUGAACUCUUCUCACUGACGACUCCAUCAGUGUGCAAGUAUGGUAUCCUAUGCAUUGAAGAUCUUAUCCACGAGAUCUUGACUGUUAGACUACAUUUUAAGGUGUUAAGCAACUUUCUUUGGCCAUUCAAGCUCAAGGCUCCAUUGGGUGGCUUGAAGAAGAAGAGGA
rnacentral:lncRNA from 1 species